ACGUAGGGGGCAAGCGUUGUCCGGAUUUACUGGGUGUAAAGGGCGCGUAGGCGGAUAUUUAAGUCAGAUGUGAAAGCCCCGGGCUUAACUCGGGGACUGCAUUUGAAACUGGGUAUCUUGAGGGCAGGAGAGGAAAGUGGAAUUCCUAGUGUAGCGGUGGAAUGCGUAGAUAUUAGGAGGAACACCAGUGGCGAAGGCGACUUUCUGGACUGUACCUGACGCUGAGGCGCGAAAGCAUGGGGAGCAAACGG
rnacentral:rRNA from 1 species